UACGGAGGGUGCAAGCGUUAUCCGGGUUCACUGGGUUUAAAGGGUGCGUAGGCGGGCAAGUAAGUCAGUGGUGAAAUCUCCGAGCUUAACUCGGAAACUGCCGUUGAUACUAUUUGUCUUGAAUAUUGUGGAGGUAAGCGGAAUAUGUCAUGUAGCGGUGAAAUGCUUAGAUAUGACAUAGAACACCAAUUGCGAAGGCAGCUUACUACACAAUUAUUGACGCUGAGGCACGAAAGCGUGGGGAUCAAACAGG
rnacentral:rRNA from 1 species